ACAUGCCUACAACAUAGAGUAAAUCCACCGAAUCCCAUUAGAAGUCCACAGUUAAGUGUGCUCAGGAUAGAGUAGUACUGGGAUGGGUGAUCUCCCAGGAAGUUGUAGUAUUUUACAUGCC
rnacentral:rRNA from 1 species